rnacentral:lncRNA from 1 species
GUUAUGUAGAUAAGCAAGACCAUUAUACCCGUGGACCUUUCCAAAAGCUAAGACGAUAGGGGACAAGUCGGCACCAGAGAUACCUAUAGAAACCUGUAACUUAGUAACAUCCAUAUGGUACUUCACGUCUCGGUCUUUAAGAAGUAUCUACCAAACGAAUCCAAGACGCGUCCCGAUAGUGAGGGUUUGCUGGAACGUCAAGCGGAGACCCGAUGCCACUUGGGAGCAUGAAAACUCGGAGCAGCAGAUUCACCCGUAUCUCUUUUCAAUUCAUGAGCUGUAUCGUAACCUUUGAAUUUCAGGAUGAAAUUCCCUCUGACGGGGGGAUAAUGUAACAACCCGAAGUUGUCCAUCGCCGAAAUCCGUUCCGCGCGUAAAAAUUCGUCUUUAUCGAUUCGUCCCGUUUUCGUUUUUGGGCAAAGAUAUAUAAACUAUAAGUUUAUUUUAAUCUCGUAAGUAUUCAAAUCCAUUUAAAACUCAUCAAAAUGGCCCAAAAUCAUUGAUUUGAAAUUUCUAAAUUCUAUCCCGUUGAAUUACGGAAAAUUAAUCGGGUGCGACCAAAAGCCACGUUUAAUGCCUGUAUCGGGUAGAAUUCCUCCGUGUCCAAGUUUUGGGACCUAUUUAAACGUGUUUAAGCUUUCAUUUGAAGCUUUUUCUUCAUCUAUCUACUCUCUCUCUAACCUCUCUCCUAUAUUCAAGUUUAAGGGUCCAAAUCUCAAAUUUAAGGCUUCUAAUCACCAAGGUACCUUCCCUAACUUGUUAUGCAACCUCUCUAGCCUUCAAAUUCGAGUUUAAACCAUGGAUUAGGACCAUUAUCAUGUGUUUACAGCCCUAGAACAGUCCUAGGCCGUAAACUCAUAUUAAUGCGGUUUUUGGAGAAACAAAACCCUUCCAAACAAUAAUUAGACCUUAGAUAUGGCAAGAUGACUUUAUGGAAUGGACUUAGAAGGCCUUGAACCAUGAUUUAGAGACUUUUUCAUGUGUUUACGGCCCUGGAGCAUGCUUGGGCCGUAAACACAUAUAAAAUGGGUUUUUAUGCCCUUAAACUCUUCCAAAACACCAAUAAGGCUUAGAUACGACUUGUAGAAUUAUGGUUUUGGCCUUGGAANGCCUUGGAACCCUUGAGCAUCAAUUUAGAGGAGUAAACUUGAGUUUACUACCCAAGAACAUGCUUGGGCCAUAAACUCAUAUUCUUGAGGAGUAAACUAUUCUAAAUGUGUUAAGAUGCUACUUAAACACACCUUAAGCCUUGGGAUAAAUUCUAGAAAUGACCACAAACAAGAAUUGGACCUGAAAACAUAAUAAAAUACCCUUUCAAAAGAGUUCACGGCCAUGAGGGGGUUCAUGGGCCGUAAACUCCAAAAUCCAUGUCAAAAGUCCCUUAAAAAUCCAUACAACACUUGGAAAAAUCAUUAGAAUCACAUGUGAUUGAUUUAAGACCCAAAUCAGCAAGGACUUACAGUGAGGGGGAGUUUACGGCCGUAAAAUCCAUGUUUACAGCCGUAAACUCCAAUAAAUGGUCCCUAUGUGAGUUUUAAUCCAUUCCAAAGCCUAAAAUCCAAGUCUAGCAUUAAUUCCCAAUUGUUAUGAAGCUAUUUUGCACCCAAAAACACCAUCCAAGAGUUCACGGCCGUGAACUCAUAUGGAUGAGGUGUUAUGGGCCGAAAACUCAUGUAUGAGUUUACUCUUGAAGAGUAAACUCAAUAUCCUAGCUAUAUGUGUCCCCAAACGUCACCCGGGGUCCUUCCAAACACUUGUAAUGGGGUGUUUCCGCAACUAGAAGUGUAUGUAGUUAGCAUAUAAAUUAAUCAAGUCCUAAUUAGAUACACAUGUGUAUCAUUUGAUAAUCCAUAGGAAUCUUGUGCGUUCGCAAACCCAGAUCUGACGUUUAGGAUCCAAACUGACGCAUUUCUCAACCGGUGAGUUCAUACCCCUACCCUUUUUCAAAUGUUUUCAGGGGGGAAUACAAGUAAAAGUACAAGGAAAUCUUGUACUUAAACUUAUUUUCAGUUCAGUGUUCAUUUUAUGUAUGUUUCUAAUUUCAAAAUUAGUGUUAACUAAUGGUUCGAAUUGCAGGGUAAACAGUUAGACUAAAGUCAGCUUUCUUUAAAAAGUGUUUUAAACUAUAUUACUUUUUGUAAAAGAAAUCAUACUAAUCAUAUCUAAAAAUUAAUACUAAACGAAUACGAAUACGAAUAUAAACAAUAGUAUAGUACGAAUAUGAAUAUAACCAAUAGUAUAGUACAAAUACGAAUACGAAUACGAAUAUAACCAUUAGGUUAGUACGAAUACGAAUCCGAAUAUGAAUAUAAACAAUAGUAUAGUACGAAUACGAAUAUAACCAAUAGUAUAGUACAAAUAUGAAUACGAAUACGAAUAUAACCAUUAGGUUAGUACGAAUACGAAUACGAAUACGAAUACGAAUAUAAACAAUACUAUAGUACGAAGACGGAUACGAAUACGAAUAUAACCAAUAGUAUAGUACAAAUGCGAAUACGAAUACAAAUGUAACUAUUAGGUUAGUACGAAUACGAAUACGAAUACGAAUAUAACUAUUAGCAUAGAAAGAAUUCGAAUACGAAUAGAAAUAGUACUACGAAUGAAAAAUAACGCCUUUGGAUGACACCAAGACUUCGAAUAUACAGUUAGUGUACGCCUUGAAUGUCACUAGAGCUUCGAAUUUAAUACGAAACUACGCCUCUGGACCUCUACUGAGUUUCGAAUACAUCCGCCUUAGAAUGUCGCCAGAGAUACGAAAAUACAACUAAUGUACUAUUUUGGAAAUCAUAAGAAUAAUAGAAAAUACUGUAAUGUACGUUUCUGGUGAAUCCAAAUAUUCGAAAAUACAACUAAGUUAGUAGAUGAUAGACAUUCAAAUGUAGGAUAACUAAGAGUUUAGAAUACUUAAUUACAAGUAUGAUAAUUACUAGUACUUCGAAAUAAAACCUAAGAACCAACCUCAACACAUAGGAAAAUAUGGGAUUUUCCUGAAGUAACAUAACAACUAGUAACGAAAUUAGAAACGAAUAGACAACUUAAUACAUAGGAAAAUAUGGGAUUUUCCUGGGAUAGCAUAACAACUCAUAUACGAAUAAAGUAACAAAUGAAUAACUAAACUAUUAUGAAAAUAUGGGAUUUUCCUGUAAUGGCAUAACAAACCGUUUUCGAAUUCGUAACAAAAGAUAACUAAACUGUUUUCAUAAGAAAAUAUGGGAUUUUCGUGAACAACAACUUUUUCAGAAAGCAAAGGAAACUCAUUCUUUUCAAAACUAAACCGCUUAUGAACUCACCAGCUUUAUGCUGAUUUUCAAACUGCUUGUAUUCUCAGGUCAUCGCCAUCUUUAGGAGAAGACAGAGCGUUCCGAAGACUCAUCUUUGCUUUUGUUCAUAUUAUAUAUGUAUAUAACACUUGUAUAACUUUUCUUUCAAACAUAUGUAAACAAAAUUAUGUAAUGUAAUUUUUUGUGUUUACUGUUUUACUAUGCGCAUUGGAUUUGAUACUCAACGUGGAGUCAACCCCGGAAAUGUUUCCGCCUUUGGUUUUCGGGGUGUGACAGAUUGGUAUCAGAGCCCUUGUUUAUAGUGAACUAGUAUACCAAAGCUUACAUGGUAUAAGACUAUAAACAUUAAGGGGCCUAAGUGCUCUGAAUUAAAAGUGUACUCUACAAAUAUAAGUAUUUUCUAAAGUAUACAAGUAUACCGAAUCGUCGAAAUCUGUAACUACAAGUUGAAAAAAAUAUAAGUAAAUGGGUGUUGUACGCUACGGUUAAACCUUGGCAGUUAUGUAGUCAUGUCUAGGAUCAAUAUAGCCUGACCAAAUAUAUUCAUUCAAGACACGGCCAACAUGUGCUUGGGAGUGACUGUGGUACGCAGCAUACCUAAAACUUACCCAAUAUCCCAAACAACGAGCUGUCGUCGCAGCGAACCAUGAAAUACUAUGGGAGUAUUUCUUGAGCCGAUCUAUUGUAGAAGUCCUCGUUCAAGCGUUGUUCCUUGAUCAUUCCUUUGGAGAUAAAUUAUCUACUUUGAUAACUCCUUCCUGUUUUAUCGCUUAAUAAAAUAUCUGUCUUAAUGAGACAUCCCUUGUUCCGUAUCUCUUGAUUCAAUUCAGAGGACUUAUGAUCCUCCCUUUCCUGAUCUUUUUAGAUCAAGAUGCCUCCGAGGGAAAGACCCAGCUCGAAGAACACCAACAACCCUCCGCCGCCACCACCUCCUCUUCAAAUCGAUAUGGAAACACUUCAGGCAGCCAUUACUGCCACAAUAUCAGCCAUCCUGCCUCAACUAAACCCCAGUGGUUCAGGGGGUUGUUCCCAAACACAAAACCCGAAAGGUAAUCAGGGACACCGGAAGGAGUGUUCCUAUAAAGACUUUAUGAACGCAAAACCGACAUUCUUCGAUGGCACGGGGGUUGUCAUUGCUCUAACUCGAUGGUUAGAAAAGAUCGAAUCCAUCUUCGAGAUUUGUGCCUGUUCGGAAUCCGAUAAGGUAAAAUUUGCCGCUUGUGCGCUCAUCGAUAAAGCUUUGACUUGGUGGAACGGCCGAGUCAAAUCCCUGACUCUACCUGUAGCUAAUGCUAUGGGAUGGGAAAGUUAUGAAGGAACUACUGCGCGCGGAGUAUUGCCCUCGUGGUGAAAUCCAGAAGCUGGACCAUGAACUCUGGAACCUGAAGAUGAAAGGUUCCAAUAUCGCCGCUUACACCUCAAGGUUUGACGACUUGGCACUCCUUUUUCCGGGGAUGGUUACCCCGGAGAGCAAAAAGAUUGAGAGGUUCAUCUAGGGAUUAACCCAGCCAACAAAAGGGAACGUUAUAGCGGCGAAGCCAGAUACCUAUGACAGUGCCAAAUGUCUAGCGCAAACCCUAAUCGAUCACAAUGAUGACCAAGAAGAAGCAGACACCACACCCGAGCCAACAGAAAAGAGUGGCGAGAAAAGAAAGUUUUGGCAAAAGAAGAAGAAGAGUCAGUCUUCCCCAGAACCCUUGAAGAAACAGCAGAUAGUGACAGUCCACGCUGCCACUACCCCUGUCGCUGUAUCUGUUGUAGGNUUGAUCACAAUGAUGACCAAGAAGAAGCAGACACCACUCCCGAGCCAACAAAAAAGAGUGGCGAGAAAAGAAAGUUUUGGAAAAAGAAGAAGAAGAGUCAGUCUUCCCCAGAACCCUCGAAGAAACAACAGAUAGUGGCAGUUCACACUGCCACUACCCCUGUUGUUGUAUCUGUCACCGGAUAUGUCGGUAUCCUCCGGUGGUGUAACCAAUGUAGCUACCAGCAUCACAUCCCUGGCCCUUGUCGUGUAAAGUUUUGUAACAGCUAUGGCCAGGAAGGUCACCUAGCGCGAAACUGCAGAACCCCAACCCAAUCAGCUAGUCAAGCUUCCGGAGCUGGUAUCGGUCAAACUUGCUACAGUUGUGGAGAGGUCGGACAUUAUAAACGAAACUGUCCUAAGGCAGUAACAUCUGGCAACACCGGGAGAGUCCUAACUAUGGGACAAGAAAGGACAGCCGNCACCGGGAGAGUCCUAACUAUGGGACAAAAAAGGACAGCCGCCGACCCCACCGUUGCCACAGGUAUACUUCUCCUCGAUGAAUCUUGUGCUCAUGAUCCUUUUCGAUUCUAAUGUUGAAAGAAUUUGCUAACCAUUCAUUCAAAUAUCUUUCUAAAAUAAAUCCUUCGUUAGUAAUCGAAACGCGUACCGUCGAGAUGAUCCACCAGUGAGAAAGAGAACGUUAAUGUCAUACCCUUAGAUCGUAUCCUAAAUUCGAAUGAUUAUUCCUUUCCAUUCGAUCUCAUAGUAAACUUUUCCUGAAAAGCUUUGAUGCGAUCAUUGGCAUGUAAUGACUGAAUCUCAUUCAUGCUGUUGUUCUUGUCUUCGAAAGGGUCGUUCGUCCGAAUCUUUCCUCUGACCCGACUCUCAUGAUCUUCGGCAUCAAACCUAAAUCCAACCUUUGCAUAAUUUCGUGCAUCAAAGCUUAGAAAGUUUUCCAUGCAUUCCUAGUCCGUGUGAUAUUCGGGAAACGAGAAGUCUUCAACUCUUUCCCCGAUGCCUUUCCCGAAAAUUCUCGAGAAUUCCUUCUGAACGUCUAGUCAAUUCUCAUAUCGACCUAAUCCCUGGAACUGCCUCGUAACCGAACCUCCGGGAGGAUGAUGUAUCCAAUACAGAGACCAGGACCUGGCAUAAUCACCAAGAGUUCGUAGUGGUGCCCUUCGGUCAACCAUCUUCCCUGGUUACGUAGAUAAGCAAGACCAUUAUACCUGUGGACCUUUCCAAAAGCUAAGACGAUAGGGAACAAGUCGGCACUAGAUGUACCUAUAGAAACCUGUAACUUAGUAACAUCCAUAUGGUACUUCAUGUCUCGGUCUUUAAGAAGUAUCUACCAUACGAAUCCAAGACGCGUCCCGAUAGUGAGGAUUUGCUGGAUCGUCAAGCGGAGACCCGAUGCCACUUUGGAGCAUGAAAACUCGGAGCAGCAGAUUCACCCGCAUCUCUUUUCAUUUCAUGAGCUGUAUCGUAACCUUUGAAUUUCAGGAUGAAAUUCCCUCUGACGGGGGGAUAAUGUAACAACCCGAAGUUGUCCAUCGCCGAAAUCCGUUCCGCACGUAAAAAUUUGUCUUUAUCGAUUCGUCCCGUUUUCGUUUUUGGGAUAAGAUAUAUAAACUAUAAGUUUAUUUUAAUCUCGUAAGUGUUCAAAUCCAUUUAAAACUCAUCAAAAUGGCCCAAAAUCAUUAAUUUGAAAUUUCUAAAUUCUAUCCCGCCGAAUUACAGAAACUUAAUCGGGUGAGACCAAAAGUCCCGUUUAAUGCCAGUAUCGGGUAGAAUUCCUCCGUGUCCAAGUUUUGGGACCUAUUUAAACGUGUUUAAGCUUUCAUU